rnacentral:lncRNA from 1 species
CCAACCGAAAAAGAGACAUGAUUGCGCAGAUCUACUCAUGUCUCGAUGAAUCAACCAGCUGUAGCUGACCUGAUGCUGGACGAUGCUUCGCCUCAGCAGCCGUCCCAUCCUGUUUCACCACCAAAAUGAGACGUUAGGAUUUGCACGGGAAAAAAGGCUCUCUCCUCUCGGCGUUUCACGUCAAUUCCCGAUCAGUUCAUAUUUUACUUCUGCAUCGACACAGGAGGGGAGGGACCGCUCUCGAUAAAGGGAAAAAACAUGAAGAAAUCAUUCUCCAUCAUCACAGCCCUUUUUUUCCCCUCAGCGUCGUUUUCAACACCUUGUGCGCUGUUCAGGAGCUAUCACGCUAUUUCCCACACGGCGUUUUUUCUUCGGUAACGUUCGUGCACCUCUGUGCUCCAUUGCGUGCACUAAAGCACUGAGAAAUCUAUUUUUAAAAAUUAUUGAUCUAUAAACAAAAAAAUGAAAACAGCAUUAUAUACAUAUGCUCGAGGUUUAGUCGGGGCUUGUUCUUUUUUCGUGGAGAAAAAGGAAAUAACCGCUGUGUACCUGUACUUUUCAAACGCAUGAAAUCACGAACUAAACCACCGUUUACGAUUUUCUUACAGUUACCGAAGAUCAACCUUUUUGAAAAAAAAAAUGUGUACUUUUUUCCACUUUCAAUUCAAAUACAUUUCCGUCUAUCAGACUGAAAACUUAAAUUUGAGUUCAUAAGUUUCGGGCUCAAGACUGAUUUGAUAGUUCAAAACUGUUCCAUCUUUUUCAGAAAUACUAACGGGGUCUUUAGUGAAGUAAACGGCUUGUUUCGAGUGCACGUCCCAUUGAACGUUUUGGCUGAGCGUGACAGGAGCAGUUGGCCCACCGCUGAUUGUAGUGUUCUCGUCCAGUUGCCAAUCGAUCCACAAGGCUACUCCAUUAAGAGUUCCAGCGACUGGUAAGUUUACCUUACCUUCCACUUGGAGAAUUUCUUGCGUCUUUCCAGAAAGUGUUGUCAAAUCUAGCAUCAUGAGUUGAACAGCUUGACUUAGCGCUCGAGUGGGAUAUUCCCACAGAGGGUGCGGUUCGACCUGAGCAUCGCUAGAGUCGAUUGCGCUCUGCGAUUAAAUUAAUUGUAAUUUUUAGAUUUUCACGUGGAAAUGGGCUAACAUGUUACCUCAAUUAACUUGUCAAAAACUGACAGAUCAAUUUCUUGAGUGGAGCGGACGGGUGCUCGGAUUUUCCAUAAAUCUUUCAUCUCGACAGCCAUGGCGUAUAGAUACGCCUUUCCAGGAAAAAUUCUAGUCACGCCAUCUGCCAAUAAAUGUUUCACGUUGUUUUUCCAGCGCGCGAAAUAAAGGUUGUGCCAAGGCAGCACAGAGCUCUCGAAAACAGGCUCACCCAACACAAGGUUCACCUAAACAUAACCGUAAAUGGAAACGUUAAAGCAAGAAAAAACUAUAACAUAUCCUUUUCAAAAGUAUCCCGAAUUUAAAGGCCUGGUCGUUUAAACGAGCUCAAACUGUUGUAAAAGUAAAAGUAGCACUAUCGCAAGCAGAUUCUUACCUUUAAGUCGAGUUUUCUUUUAUCGAGAUCUCCAUCAAUGACGGUAAUUUGUUCUUGAAGGUCAUUUCUUUUCACCCAGGCCUGCAAUACUCGACGGCAAUGUGGAUUUCUCUCAACGGCAUAGACUUUUUUUGCGCCUAAUUUUGCCACUAUCAGUCCUAAGAGACAGCAAUCACCCAGUGUCAAACAGACAGUAUCGGAGCUAACCACUUUUUCUAAAGCAGUCUGGUACUUCUGAUUGCGUUCACUGUCGUUCAAUUGGCCUAAACGAGGUCGGCUAACAGCAAGGUGAACGGAGCAAUCACAGAAUGGGCGGGGCAAGAUAGCGGAAGAGGAGGCUUCAGUCUGUAAUCCAAACCAAAGGCUGUAUUCGUCGUGGUAACCGCUGAGACGUAGUUGCUCUCCCUCCGAUUUGAUAAUUUUGUCAUUAGGAAAAUAGUAAAUAGCUUGCAUCCAAUGAUCUCUCCACGUUUUUGCACAAUACCUUCUGGAUGGGCCCAAGGAGGAGCACAACUUAAAACUAUUUCGCCUUCUGUGUCCAUGUCCAAUGUCCACCACAUUAAAACGGCGUGAGCUGUCCCACUGGACUUGGCAGUGAAUUCCACUGUUUUUGAAUCAUCAUUAGGAAUAGGUUGUUUGCUGUUCCAAUCGAAACUGUUAAUAAAUAAUAAUCAGAUAA